rnacentral:rRNA from 1 species
CUGAACAGCAUUACCACUUGGUAGCUGACAUCAUCAGAUGUCAGAAGAUAAGAAAGACUGGGCCAGAUUGGUAGUGGGAUGGGAGACCUCAAAGAAAAAUCAGGUUCCUGCUGUGU